rnacentral:tRNA from 1 species
AUUAUAUUAGUGUAAAAACUUAUAGCAUGUAAACUUUUCGUGUUUAAAGAAGCGGUAAACGCUAUAUAAUA